CCUACGGGAGGCAGCAGUGAGGAAUAUUGGUCAAUGGGCUUACGCCUGAACCAGCCAAGUCGCGUGAGGGAAGACUGCCCUAUGGGUUGUAAACUUCUUUUGUCAGGGAGCAACGCCGGCUACGUGUAGCCGGUCUGAGAGUACCUGAAGAAAAAGCAUCGGCCAACUCCGUGCCAGCAGCCGCGGUAAUACGGAGGAUGCGAGCGUUAUCCGGAUUUAUUGGGUUUAAAGGGUGCGUAGGCGGAAUGCCAAGUCAGCGGUAAAAUCGCGGGGCUCAACCUCGCUCCGCCGUUGAAACUGGCGUUCUUGAGUGGGCGAGAAGUAUGCGGAAUGCGUGGUGUAGCGGUGAAAUGCAUAGAUAUCACGCAGAACUCCGAUUGCGAAGGCAGCAUACCGGCGCCCAACUGACGCUGAGGCACGAAAGCGUGGGUAUCGAACAGGAUUAGAUACCCCUGUAGUC
rnacentral:rRNA from 1 species